AGAGUUUGAUCCUGGCUCAGAACGAACGCUGGCGGCGUGCCUCAUACAUGCAAGUCAUGCGAGAAAGCCAGCUUCGGUUGGUGAGUAAAGCGGCGAACGGGUGCGUAACACGUGAGUAAUCUGCCCUAGGGUGGGGGAUAAGCUCCCGAAAGGGGGUCUAAUACCGCAUAACAUUUUCUGAUAGCAUUUUUGGGAAAUCAAAGAUGGCCUCUAUUUAUAAGCUAUCACCAUAGGAUGAGCUCGCGCUCCAUUAGCCUGUUGGUAGGGUAACGGCCUACCAAAGCUACGAUGGAUAGCCGGCCUGAGAGGGUGAACGGCCACACUGGGACUGAGAUACGGCCCAGACUCCUACGGGAGGCAGCAGUAGGGAAUAUUGCGCAAUGGACGAAAGUCUGACGCAGCAACGCCGCGUGUGGGAUGAAGCUUCUUGGAGUGUAAACCACUGUCGGGAGGGACGAAUGAUUAUGGCUCUAAUAUAGUUAUAGUUUGACGGUACCUUCAAAGGAAGCUCCGGCUAACUCCGUGCCAGCAGCCGCGGUAAUACGGGGGGAGCAAGCGUUGUUCGGAAUCACUGGGCGUAAAGGGUGCGCAGGCGGGAGAUUAAGUCGGAUGUGAAAUCCUCGGGCUCAACCCGAGGCCUGCAUUUGAAACUGAUCUUCUUGAGUAUCGGAGAGGAAAGCGGAACUCCAGGUGUAGCGGUGAAAUGCGUAGAUAUCUGGAGGAACACCUGUGGCGAAGGCGGCUUUCUGGCCGAAUACUGACGCUCAUGCACGAAGGCUAGGGGAGCAAACAGGAUUAGAUACCCUGGUAGUCCUAGCGGUAAACGAUGGGCACUAGGUGUCGGGGGUAUCGACCCCCUCGGUGCCGCAGCUAACGCAUUAAGUGCCCCGCCUGGGGAGUACGGCCGCAAGGCUGAAACUCAAAGGAAUUGACGGGGGCCCGCACAAGCAGUGGAGUAUGUGGUUUAAUUCGAUGCAACGCGAAGAACCUUACCUGGGUUUGACAUGCAUAGGAAAGCUUCAGAGAUGGAGUUCCUCCGCAAGGAGUCUAUGCACAGGUGCUGCAUGGCUGUCGUCAGCUCGUGCCGUGAGGUGUUGGGUUAAGUCCCGCAACGAGCGCAACCCCUGUUCCUAGUUGCCAACGUAAAGUCGGGAACUCUAGGAAGACAGCCGGUGAUAAGCUGGAGGAAGGUGGGGAUGACGUCAAGUCCUCAUGGCCCUUACGCCCAGGGCUACACACGUACUACAAUGACCGGUACAUAGGGUCGCAAGACCGCGAGGUGGAGCCAAUCCUCAAAACCGGCCUCAGUUCAGAUUGGAGUCUGCAACUCGACUCCAUGAAGGUGGAAUUGCUAGUAAUCGCGGAUCAGCAGGUCGCGGUGAAUACGUUCCCGGGCCUUGUACACACCGCCCGUCAAGCCAUGGAAGCCGGGAGUACCCGAAGUCACUUU
rnacentral:rRNA from 1 species